rnacentral:misc_RNA from 1 species
GUGAAUCAUCGAAUCUUUGAACGCAAAUUGCACUCUCCUCGGAGAGUAUGCCUGUUUGAGGGUCAGCCUAUAAAAAAAUCGACAUCGUUGCUGUUUCGCGGUGGCGUUCGUCGGAAUUGAGCCGUCUUUCAAAUGUUAAUUCAUGUCAAAGUGGCUUGAAAUUCAUCCAUCCGGUACGAUUAAAGCGUAUUUAAGAUCAAUCUUGAUUAAGAACGCGCGAUGACGUACCAUCUCGUGUAGUACGUUUGACCUGGGUCAUCAGGUUCAUUCGUAUACUAUACUCGAACUUUUGCACUCAAAU